GCUGUUCCAUCCCUUUGUCAUCCCCUGCAGAUCACAAAGCCUCUGCGAGGAAGCUCCGUGAGGAGGCGGCAGCUCCCGAGGGAAGUUUUGCAGGGGACUGCAGCAAAUCCCGCAGCACCCCAGAGCCCUGAGCGGGACUGGCUGCAGGGAGCUCGGGGUGACGCCGGCAGCACUCGGGACGUGGGGACACUGGAGGAUGGGACCCUAAACGCCGCACCCCAGUGUGGGAAGGAGGAAUCCAGGACUGGCCAGGGGAGGGUGUCAGCUCAAGUCCCAGCAGGUUCCCGCAGUGCGGCGCAGUCCAGCCCCGGCUCCUUCCAUCAUGUCACUUUUCCUAAGCACCAAGAUUUCUUUUCUGCUUUGUAUUUCUGGCAAGAAACCUUUGCAUUUAGAUAAGGAAUAAAGCCUGGAAUCAGAUCUGAA